CUUAUUCCUGGCUUUGACUUCAAGAAGUUCCUUCCUUAUUUCUACGAUUUCUGUCUUGAACGUUUCAAACUUUUCAUUAAUGAACUCCAUGCCCUUCCUCACGUAAUCUAUCUCUGUUUCUAUGACUUUAAUUAUGUCUUUUUUUUUUAUUUCGGCGAGCUGCUUAUCGAGCCGAUCUGAUAAAUCUGCAAGCGCCUUAGUUACUUCCUUCACAGUCGAAGGUGGCUUAUCAGACAUUCUAUUGGCAGUAGACGGAGCAAUCCAGAAGCCUAAGUGUUGUAUCUAUUACGAAGUAGGUAGUUACUGACGUACCUGCGUAGGACAAGCAAGCGGUUACUUGCCGAUCGACUCCGUGGCUGCCUGGAUUGCUCCGCUAUGGCGCCUUCUUCCGCCGGGGCAGCGUUUAUGUAGCCGCAGAGUGACGUCAACGCUGGUUGGAGUGCAGACGCAGUUUGCAGCCUGGCCGCUGUAAGAUGACUUGCACUCGACCUGGUGCUGCGCUGCUAGCAAGCUUCACAGCGAGGUGGUGGCGAGUAAUGAUCCCGGGGCCGGAAGUUUAACCGGGAGUCUCCUGGGAACUAUGUUUAAGAAAGCUCGUCGGUGCGACUACCUAUGCAGAUGCGUGUAAAGCUUCCGGACAGAGAGCAACACUGCGACACAUGCUCUGGGAAUGUGCCGGCAAUAACGAUACUGAAACCACCUCCGCUCACAACGCGUCCAUAAUCCCGGCCGUUGCCAGAGUACAGGAAGCCUCGAGCUCGCUUCUUCCCGACGCCACGCCGGCUGCCGGAGCCACCGGGGACCUUCUCCAUCCGCGUCGCCGCCACUGGGAGGGGGCUCUCACAAGUUCAGAGUUGGCAGACCAGCUCUGGGACGUCCGGCAAGCCGAAGAUGCCGCCCGAGUCCAAGGACUUCGAGCCGCCACCUGAGGCCACCACAACAAAAACUGCCGGACCAUUCUUUAAUAAAGUUUCUUCUUCUUCUUCAUCAAAAUA